AACGAACGCUGGCGGCAUGCCUAACACAUGCAAGUCGAACGAGACCUUCGGGUCUAGUGGCGCACGGGUGCGUAACGCGUGGGAACCUUCCCUUAGGUUCGGAAUAACUCCCCGAAAGGGGUGCUAAUACCGGAUAAUGUCUUCGGACCAAAGAUUUAUCGCCUUUGGAUGGGCCCGCGUUGGAUUAGCUAGUUGGUAGGGUAAAAGCCUACCAAGGCGACGAUCCAUAGCUGGUCUGAGAGGAUGAUCAGCCACACUGGGACUGAGACACGGCCCAGACUCCUACGGGAGGCAGCAGUGGGGAAUAUUGGACAAUGGGCGGAAGCCUGAUCCAGCAAUGCCGCGUGAGUGAUGAAGGCCUUAGGGUUGUAAAGCUCUUUUACCCGGGAUGAUAAUGACAGUACCGGGAGAAUAAGCUCCGGCUAACUCCGUG
rnacentral:rRNA from 1 species